CAAACCGAGCGCAACCCUUGUCAUUAAUUGCCAUCAUUCAGUUGGGCACUUUAAUGAGACUGCCGGUGACAAACCGGAGGAAGGUGGGGAUGACGGCAAGUCCUCAUGGCCCUUAUGGGUAGGGCUUCACACGUAAUACAAUGGUCGGUACAGAGGGUUGCCAACCCGCGAGGGGGAGCCAAUCCCAGAAACCGAUCGUAGUCCGGAUUGUAGUCUGCAACUCGACUGCAUGAAGUCGGAAUCGCUAGUAAUCGCGGAUCAGCAUGUCGCGGUGAAUACGUUCCCGGGCCUU
rnacentral:rRNA from 1 species